UUGGAGGGCAAGUCUGGUGCCAGCAGCCGCGGUAAUUCCAGCUCCAAUAGCGUAUAUUAAAGUUGUUGCAGUUAAAAAGCUCGUAGUUGAAUUUCGGGAUCAAUAUGUUGGUCGUGCCUCGGUACGUACUGGCGUCAUUGGUUUCUACCUUCUGAAGAACCUCGAUGUCAUUAAUUUGGUGUCUUGGGGAAUCAGGACUGUUACUUUGAAAAAAUUAGAGUGUUUAAAGCAGGCUCACGCUUGAAUACAUUAGCAUGGAAUAAUGAAAUAGGACGUUUGAUUCUAUUUUGUUGGUUUCUAGGAUCGACGUAAUGAUUAAUAGGGAUAGUUGGGGGCAUUAGUAUUCAAUUGUCAGAGGUGAAAUUCUUGGAUUUAUUGAAGACUAACUACUGCGAAAGCAUUUGCCAAGGAUGUUUUCAUUAAUCAAGAACGAAAGUUAGGAGAUCGAAGACGAUCAGAUACCGUCGUAGUCUUAACCAUAAACUAUGCCGACUAGGGAUCGGAUGAUGUUAAUUUUUUAAUGACUCAUUCGGCACCUUACGGGAAAC
rnacentral:rRNA from 1 species